rnacentral:rRNA from 1 species
CGCCGAACAGCUAGCCCACCUGAACAACUUCAACACCCCCCUAUUAAUACCCCUGAAUAUAAAACACUAUAUAAAACAAAUCAUUUUACCCCCUUAGUAUGGGCGACAGAAAAGGGAAUUAGGCGCAAUAGCGACAGUACCGCAAGGGAACGCUGAAAGAGAAAUGAAAUAACCCAGUAAAGCACUAAAAAGCAGAGCUUUACCCUCGUACCUUUUGCAUCAUGAUUUAGCCAGUGAUUUUCAAGCAAAAAGAUUUUUAGUUUGUUAACCCGAAACUAAGGGAGCUACUCCAAGACAGCCUAAUAAUUAGGGCGUACCCGUCUCUGUUGCAAAAGAGUGGGGCGAGCUUUGAGUAGAGGUGACAGACCUACCGAACUUAGUUAUAGCUGGUUGCCCAAGAAAUGAAUAGAAGUUCAGCCUCCCGGGUUUCUCCCUUCACCUCAGUGUACACACCCCCCUGAUGUCUUAAGAAACCGUGAGAGUUAUUCAAAGGGGGUACAGCCCCUUUGAAACAAGACACAACUUUCCCAGGUGGGUAAAGNUCGUA